rnacentral:rRNA from 1 species
GGAUCCAGACUUUGAUCAUGGCUCAGGAUGAACGCUAGCUACAGGCUUAACACAUGCAAGUCGAGGGGAAACGACAUCGAAAGCUUGCCUUUGAUGGGCGUCGACCGGCGCACGGGUGAGUAACGCGUAUCCAACCUGCCCACACUUGGGGAUAACCUUGCGAAAGUAAGACUAAUACCCAAUGACGUCUCUAGAAGACAUCUGAAGGAGAUUAAAGAUUUAUCGGUGAUGGAUGGGGAUGCGUCUGAUUAGCUUGUUGGCGGGGUAACGGCCCACCAAGGCGACGAUCAGUAGGGGUUCUGAGAGGAAGGUCCCCCACAUUGGAACUGAGACACGGUCCAAACUCCUACGGGAGGCAGCAGUGAGGAAUAUUGGUCAAUGGACGGGAGUCUGAACCAGCCAAGUAGCGUGCAGGAUGACGGCCCUAUGGGUUGUAAACUGCUUUUAUAAGGGAAUAAAGUGAGUCUCGUGAGACUUUUUGCAUGUACCUUAUGAAUAAGGACCGGCUAAUUCCGUGCCAGCAGCCGCGGUAAUACGGAAGGUCCGGGCGUUAUCCGGAUUUAUUGGGUUUAAAGGGAGCGUAGGCCGGAGAUUAAGCGUGUUGUGAAAUGUAGACGCUCAACGUCUGCACUGCAGCGCGAACUGGUUUCCUUGAGUACGCACAAAGUGGGCGGAAUUCGUGGUGUAGCGGUGAAAUGCUUAGAUAUCACGAAGAACUCCGAUUGCGAAGGCAGCUCACUGGAGCGCAACUGACGCUGAAGCUCGAAAGUGCGGGUAUCGAACAGGAUUAGAUACCCUGGUAGUCCGCACGGUAAACGAUGGAUGCCCGCUGUUGGUCUGAAUAGGUCAGCGGCCAAGCGAAAGCAUUAAGCAUCCCACCUGGGGAGUACGCCGGCAACGGUGCAACUCAAAGGAAUUGACGG